AUGGCACCGUACCCACUGGCCGUCAGGUGCAGGAAGUCAAACAUAUCUCGGCUGGAAAUGGUGCCGUCAGAGUGCACAAAGCCGCCACCCACGUCCAGGAACUGUAUGGGUCCGAGACGGGGAAGGGCGCAGCGCAGGACAACGAUCUUGGCCUUGGGAAGGCGUGAGAUGAGCAGCUGUACUAUGGUCACGAUGCCCCCUGCGACCUGCUCUGCCGUGUGCUCGUGAUUAUUGGUUCCUACCCACAGCACCACCACCUGUUCUCCGUUCUGAAGCCUCCACAGAACGUUGCACGUCGUGUCUCCUCCAAUCCCAAAGUUGAGCGCAUGGAGUGGAGAAAACAACUCUCGCCAAACCUGCACACAACAACCAAUCACAUCGCAGAACCCAGACUGUAUCUCUAACUUCAAUGUUAGACCCGACGCUAAAACAACUUCAUUCCUGUUAUCACUUAUGUCAUGUUGUUUGUUAUUAUUUACGCCUAAAUAAUACAUUUUCUGACCAAUCA